CUUCCGUAGGUGAACCUGCGGAGGGAUCAUUACCGAGUUUACAACUCCCAAACCCCUGUGAACAUACCACUUGUUGCCUCGGCGGAUCAGCCCGCUCCCGGUAAAACGGGACGGCCCGCCAGAGGACCCCUAAACUCUGUUUCUAUAUGUAACUUCUGAGUAAAACCAUAAAUAAAUCAAAACUUUCAACAACGGAUCUCUUGGUUCUGGCAUCGAUGAAGAACGCAGCAAAAUGCGAUAAGUAAUGUGAAUUGCAGAAUUCAGUGAAUCAUCGAAUCUUUGAACGCACAUUGCGCCCGCCAGUAUUCUGGCGGGCAUGCCUGUUCGAGCGUCAUUUCAACCCUCAAGCACAGCUUGGUGUUGGGACUCGCGUUAAUUCGCGUUCCUCAAAUUGAUUGGCGGUCACGUCGAGCUUCCAUAGCGUAGUAGUAAAACCCUCGUUACUGGUAAUCGUCGCGGCCACGCCGUUAAACCCCAACUUCUGAAUGUUGACCUCGGAUCAGGUAGGAAUACCCGCUGAACUUAAGCAUAUCAAUAAGCGGAGGAAUU
rnacentral:rRNA from 1 species